AAUCUAAGUUGAUUGCCAAGCCAUACAAUCCAGAAGCUCUGGGGCUCUCCUGGGCCUGCUAAAGAGUUUGCCUUGGAAGAAUCAGACAGCAGGAUGGACUUAGGAGGACAUCUAGUGGCAGAGCAGUGGCUGCCCUGGAACUCUCAAUGUAGACCAGGCUGGCCUGGAACUAACAGAGAUCACCUGCCUCUGACUCCUAGAUACUGGUAUUAAAGAGAACAAGAGGAAGGACCCUCAACAAGAAGCUGUCCCAAAGAAGUGUGGAAUGCCUCAACCACCCAGGCCUGUCUUCACAGAGUGCAUAGAAAGGAUGUGAGGACACUCGUGAACCAUGAAGUGCUACACACACGGUUCUGGUCAUUGUCUUACUCAGCACUGUAAAGGCAGUAGUUGCCUUAGGCAGAGCUAGAAUCCUUCCCAAUUUGGCCCUUACUGGUUGAGAGACCUCAGGCAAGACUUUCUGGAAAGAGCGAGGGCUUUAGCAUCAGUUGGACCUGAAGCACGGGACUGAAUAACUCCAAGGGAACAUCGUGCCUGUGAGACUUCAGGAGACACCAUGCAUAUUGAUAAUGCUGAACUCUGACUUCCUCUAGCUUCCUGG